GGAAGUGGGUAGGUUCUGGUGAGCCUCCUGGACUUCAAAUCCAGUGAGAGGCGUGAGUAGCGUCUCUGGUGGGUUCGAUUCCCAUGCACUUCCGCCA
rnacentral:tRNA from 1 species